rnacentral:rRNA from 1 species
GAUGAACGCUGGCGGCGUGCCUAAUACAUGCAAGUCGAACGAACAGAUGGUAAGCUUUCGCCUCUGACGGUGGCGGCGGACGGGCGAGUAACGCGUAGAUAGCCUUCUUAUAUUACGGGGAGGACAUCGGAAAGCCGGAGAUACUACUGGCUAAUAUAAUGAACCGCAUGGAGCAAUAGUUCUAGACGGUUUUGCCGUCUCUAUGAGAUGCUGCCGGGUCGCAUUAGCUAGUUGGUAAGGUAACGGCUUACCAAGGCAACGAUGCGUAGCCGACCUGAGAGGAUGAUCGGCCACACUGGAACUGAGACACGGUCCAGACUCCUACGGGAGGCAGCAGUAGGGAAUAUUGCACAAUGGGCGAAAGCCUGAUGCAGCAAUGCCGCGUGAGUGAUGAAGGUCUUCGGGUCGUAAAGCUCUGUUAUUAGGGAAGAAAAAAAGUGGAAGAAACUCUGGACGUCUUGACGGUACCUAAUGAGAAAGCACCGGCUAACUACGUG